rnacentral:rRNA from 1 species
GAUGAACGCUGGCGGCGUGCCUAAUACAUGCAAGUCGAGCGAACAGAUGAGGAGCUUGCUCCUCUGACGUUAGCGGCGGACGGGUGAGUAACACGUGGUUAACCUACCUAUAAGACUGGGAUAACUUCGGGAAACCGGAGCUAAUACCGGAUAAUAUAUUGAACCGCAUGGUUCAAUAGUGAAAGACGGUUUUGCUGUCACUUAUAGAUGGAUCCGCGCCGCAUUAGCUAGUUGGUAAGGUAACGGCUUACCAAGGCAACGAUGCGUAGCCGACCUGAGAGGGUGAUCGGCCACACUGGAACUGAGACAUGGUCCAGACUCCUACGGGAGGCAGCAGUAGGGAAUCUUCCGCAAUGGGCGAAAGCUUGACGGAGCAACGCCGCGUGAGUGAUGAAGGUCUUCGGAUCGUAAAACUCUGUUAUUAGGGAAGAACAAAUGUGUAAGUAACUAUGCACGUCUUGACGGUACCUAAUCAGAAAGCCACGGCUAACUACGUG